AUGGCCCCCUCCCAAGAAGUCGCGCCCCCUGCCGCCGCCAUCACCAAGGACCCAUCCACCAACGGCAACGGCAACGGCAACGGCAACGGCACAGCCGCACCCGCCCCCAAGACCAAGACGCCGGCGCUGAACGAGCGGAUCCUCUCCUCCAUCACCCGCCGCUCCGUCGCCGCCCACCCGUGGCACGACCUGGAGAUCGGCCCCGACGCGCCCACAAUCUUCAACUGCGUGAUCGAGAUCCCCAAGGGGAGCAAGGUCAAGUACGAGCUGGACAAGAAGACGGGGCUCAUCAAGGUGGACCGCGUGCUCUACUCCUCCGUCGUCUACCCGCACAACUACGGCUUCAUCCCGCGCACCCUCUGCGACGACUCCGACCCCAUCGACGUCCUCGUCAUCAUGCAGGAGCCCGUCGUCCCGGGGUGCUUCCUCCGCGCCAAGGCCAUCGGACUCAUGCCCAUGAUCGACCAGGGCGAGGCCGACGACAAGAUCAUCGCCGUCUGCGCCGACGACCCCGAGUACCGCCACUUCAACGACAUCAAGGAGCUCCCGCCCCACCGCCUCGCCGAGAUCAGGCGCUUCUUCGAGGACUACAAGAAGAACGAGAACAAGGAGGUGGCCGUCAACGACUUCCUGCCGUCAGAGGACGCCUACGAGGCCAUCCAGCACUCCAUGGAUCUCUAUGCCACCUACAUUUGCGAGGGCCUGAGAAGGUAG
rnacentral:rRNA from 1 species